rnacentral:rRNA from 1 species
GAUGAACGCUGACAGAAUGCUUAACACAUGCAAGUCAACUUGAAUUUGGGUUUUUAACUUAGGUUUGGGUGGCGGACGGGUGAGUAACGCGUAAAGAACUUGCCUCACAGCUAGGGACAACAUUUGGAAACGAAUGCUAAUACCUAAUAUUAUGAUAAUAGGGCAUCCUAUAAUUAUGAAAGCUAUAAGCGCUGUGAGAGAGCUUUGCGUCCCAUUGGCUAGUUGGAGAGGUAACGGCUCACCAAGGCGAUGAUGGGUAGCCGGCCUGAGAGGGUGAUCGGCCACAAGGGGACUGAGACACGGCCCUUACUCCUACGGGAGGCAGCAGUGGGGAAUAUUGGACAAUGGACCAAGAGUCUGAUCCAGCAAUUCUGUGUGCACGAUGAAGUUUUUCGGAAUGUAAAGUGCUUUCAGUUGGGAAGAAAGAAAUGACGGUACCAACAGAAGAAGUGACGGCUAAAUACGUG